GACGAACGCUGGCGGCGUGCUUAACACAUGCAAGUCGAACGGAAAGGCCCUGCUUUUGUGGGGUGCUCGAGUGGCGAACGGGUGAGUAACACGUGAGUAACCUGCCCUUGACUUUGGGAUAACUUCAGGAAACUGGGGCUAAUACCGGAUAGGAGCUCCUGCUGCAUGGUGGGGGUUGGAAAGUUUCGGCGGUUGGGGAUGGAAUCGCGGCUUAUCAGCUUGUUGGUGGGGUAGUGGCUUACCAAGGCUUUGACGGGUAGCCGGCCUGAGAGGGUGAAAGGCCACCUUGGGACUGAGAUACGGCCCAGACUCCUACGGGAGGCAGCAGUGGGGAAUAUUGCACAAUGGGCGGAAGCCUGAUGCAGCAACGCCGCGUGCGGUAUGACGGCCUUCGGGUUGUAAACCGCUUUCGCCUGUGACGAAGCGUGAGUGACGGUAAUGGGUAAAGAAGCACCGGCUAACUACGUG
rnacentral:rRNA from 1 species